rnacentral:ncRNA from 1 species
AAAAAAAACCCCGCCAUCAUGGCGGGGGAAGACAGGGAUGGUGUCUAUGGCAAGGAAAAACAGGGUACUACUCAGUCG